rnacentral:rRNA from 1 species
UUGAUUUAUAUAUAAAGUCUGACCUGCCCACUGAAAAUUUUAAAUGGCUGCAGUAAUUUGACUGUACAAAGGUAGCAUAAUCAUUAGUUUUUUAAUUAAAAGCUUGUAUGAAAGGUUGGACGAAGUAAAAUCUGUCUCUUUUUAAUAUAAUUAGAAUUUAAUUUUUAAGUAAAAAAGCUUAAAUUUUUAUAAAAGACGAGAAGACCCUAUAGAGUUUAAUAAUUUUAAUAAAAUAUUUAAUUAAGAUUUAUUAAUUUUAUUUAAUUAAAAUUAUUUUAUUGGGGUAAUAAAAAGAUUAAAAAAAUUCUUUUUUUUUAAUACAUUAAUUUAUGAAUAUAUGAUCCAUUUGUAGUGAUUAAAAGAUUAAAUUACCUUAGGGAUAACAGCGUAAUUUUUUUAAAGAGUUCUUAUCGAUAAAAAAGUUUGCGACCUCGAUGUUGGAUUAAAGAUUAAUUUAGGUGUAGAAGUUUAAAUUUUUGGUCUGUUCGACCAUUAAAUCUUUACAUGAUCUGAGUUCAAACCGGUGUAAGCCAGGUUGGUUUCUAUCUUUAUUAAUUUUUUAUAUUUUAGUACGAAAGGACCAAAUAUAAAAUAUAUAAAUAUUUUUAUUUUGAAUAUUAUU